CAGCGCUUCUUCUCUCUCUCUCUCCAGCGUUUCUCUCUCUGCCUCUCCCUCUCCGUCUCUCUCUCCGCUGCUCCUCUCCCUUCCCUCUCUCACCGUCGCUGGCCACCGUCAGUCCCCACCGUCGCAUGUCGCCACCGUCAUUGCCGUCGCCAUCGCCAUCGCCGAAAUCACCACCAACACUGUCGCAAAUCACAGCUUGGUGAUCAUUGGAUGCAUACUCAUUACAGGAACAUUUAUUUUGUGUCAUAUUUCUUCUUUUACACAAGACUGCUGAUCAUUUUCAUGGAAAUGGCAGGGCAGCACAAACUUGGAGGCCAUUCAGAUUAUUAAGAAGCCUGGAGGAUCACUAAAGGAUUCAUUUUUAGGUGAGGGGUGGGUAUCUUAACUUGUGAAAUUCAUUUGAUGUGAUUUAGCUAGCAUUGCUUUCAUACCUAAUAUAGAGGGGGUCUUGCUUUUACCAGACUUUUGGCUGAUGAGUUCCUUCCUGUAUGUUUAUGCUUUCUUUGACAUUUCUAAAACUCUUACUCCUUGUAUCAAUCUUUGACAUGUCUACAACUGCAUAGACAACUUUACCCAAAUCUCUUUUUGGUUGCUGAGAAAAGCUAGGGAUUAUUUUGAAUGUUAAAAUUUGCAUAUUUUGAGGUUUCAGCACAUAAAAACGUCUGCUCAACUCAGUCUCACUUUGGCUUUGUUGAGUUGGUUAUCUUCUGCUACGGCUACUAGUUAAUAUGACUUUUAUACCUCAAAAAGAAAAUGAAAAAAAUCCAGAGAUUAGAGGAAAGUUGGGUGUCGGUCUUUUCCUUACAAUCUCUAUUUUCUUGUUGUUUGCUUUUGUUUCCUUCCAUUUUUUUUUUUGUCUUUGUACAGACUUGGGUGCUCAAUACACUAUGAUGGGUGUAGGCAGAAAAUGAAGAAACUUCUUCAGAGGAUUGAAGAUUGCUUUUGCGUGGGCUAUUGUGGAUAUUUAUUUUUGUGUACGAAGAGCAUUUGUUCUGUAUACGGAAGACAUUUAUUUUUCUACAAUUCUCUGUUUUGGAAAUCCAGUGUUUUUAUAUGUAAUAUAUAAUUUAGAUGGAUUAUACUUGGUUGGUGUGAUUUUAUAUGAUAUUUGGAAUAUGAUGUUAAA